UCUUAUGUCCUUAUUUCUUUUCUCAUUGUUUUUUUUACUUCUUGGAGCUAGGUCGAGAAAUCCAAAGAAAUUGGCGAGAGAGAAUUCGAGGUGGACGGAAUGCUUAAAUUCGGAUGUUCCUUCUUCUCUUUUCUUCUCCUGUUCUCUCUUUGUUUUCAUUUUUUUUCUUCUUAUCUGAAACUGUAGCGCCAUAGGGGAAAUUGCGGCAGACAUUAAACGCUGGGAGAGAGAUGAAGGCUUGGUUUUAAGGUGGGUAAAGGGAAGAUGGAAUCAGACGAUGGUGAGAAUGAUUUUAGGGUUUCGGGGAUGCGAAUUGGGGAUUUAAAUGAAACUUGAAAAAGCGGCUAGAGAAGGAAGGAUAUAGACACUUAAUCAAGCAUUUUGAGAAACCUAAGGGUGAAACAGAGGACUGAGAAAGUCACAGUGUUCGGUGGGAGUGCGCAGGAAUCAAAAUCCAGGGGUGCUGCCACCAUUAUGAUCAACUACAUUGAUCAAAUCCAAGCUCAAGGUUUUGAGUUUAUUUAAAUAUUGGAGGAGGACGCAGGAUAGGAAGGACUUUGAUGCAUAGAGAGAAAAAGAAUUAGAAGAUUUUAAAAGGUAAUUGGAGACACAAUAGAAGUUAGAGCAGUGCAGAUGGUCUAACAUAAAUGGCGCAACAACCUGAUGCAUUCAUUACUCUCCUUGGAAAACCUCAAAAAACAUUCUAUUCCUCAAUUGGGUAGGGAUCUUAGCACCAACCACGUUGGAGGGGCCAUUCAUCUAGUUUGUCCCCUGUUUUAUGGAAUUUAAUUUGUCUAGUUACAAAUGUCGACAAUAUCGUGACAACCAGAUAAUUGAAGUUAGGAAAAAUUAGUGUUUACAUGUAAUCAGUACAUACUUAUAGGUUAUAUUAUGGUGAUGUAUAUGCUUAUAAGUACUGAUAUGAUAUAUAUGUUAUGAUUGUAUAUAUUAUCUUAUAAAGCAAUGUCAUGUCAUGAUACAUAUUAGACAAGUUAACUAUUAUAUUUUGAAAUAUUAGUGUACCUAUAAUUUUUAUUCA